rnacentral:lncRNA from 1 species
GGAAUAUGACAGAACUGAUGGCUUUUCACAUGGUCCCUUUGGCUUAAAGCCUAGAUCAGGUAAAUAUAUAUUCUUUAAAUCAAAUUAAUUAAUUUUGUUUCAAGUUGUAAUAUCCCAGUUUUGUAAUAUCCAUGUAAUAUCCAUUUGUAAUAUCCAUAGUUUUAAUUACACCAUAGAUUCUUUCCCCUCUCCUAAAAGUGAUUUUCUCUUAAACUUGUCUUUCCAAUUCCCAUUCUCAUUUCUUUCUUCCUCUUUACCUUCAAGCUCCUGAAACCUCAGCUCUUUGGCUUAGAUAUACUGCAGUCUUAUUUCUACUGUGCUGUGACUGCUGUUAGAAUGACCCCUCUGCCAGCAGACCAAACACUGUUUGAAAUUAUAACACUCCAUUAUAUUAUAGUUUUUUAAAAAGGGAUCUUUUCACAUUUGGCAAACCCAAAAGAAAAUGGAUCCAUGUUACUUGGCAAGGUAUUGAAUUAUAGUUUUUAUUCCUGAAUAACUAUAUUGACCUUCAAAAAUAAUUUCCUUUUUUUCUUUAAAGAUAAAGGUUGACAUAUGUUCAGUACUCAUAUUUAACCUGGAUCAUAAGUUUCUAAUAACAUGUUUAAGUAAGAACUUGUGUCGGUGAUAGAAAUCAUACUUUUGUUCUCUGUUACUUUCAGUUAUAUAGGUGGUAUUCAAAGAUACACUUGGAAAAUAUUUUGAAUGUAUUAAUAAGUCAUAGUGAUUUAUGUAAUUUUGUACUGAUUCUUUUUGUCAUGCUUCUUUCUCCAUCAGUGGUUGUUCCUUUAAUUAGCUUUGAAAUAAGUUGGUAAAUUUCUGUUUUUAUAAAGCUUUUAGCCGCUCAUCUCGCCAGGAAUAUGGGGCUGCAGAUCCAGGAUUCACAAUGAGAAGAAAGAUGGAACACUUAAGGGAAGAACGAGAGCAAAUAAGACAACUUCGCAAUGUAAGUCAGAUUGACCUUUAAGACUUGCUUUAGGGCUGGGAUGUAGCUCAGUGUCAAAGCGUCUGCCUUGCACUUGCAAAGCCCUGGGUUUGACCCCCAGUUUCAAAAAAGACAAAAAAAAAAAAAGACUUGCUUUAUAGAAAUGGGUUUAACUUAGAAAAAUUAGUGAGGUAUAUGGGUUUAUUUUCAAUGUUCUUGAAAAUUUUUUGAUUAAAUAACAAUUAGUAAUAUAAAUAUUUAAUAUAUGCUUAGGUAAAAUAUCUGAUCUGUAUCCAUUUCUUUAUAGAAUCUUGAAUCCAGGUUAAAAGUUAUUUUGCCUGAUGACAUUGGAGCUGCACUGAUGGAUGGGGUUGUCCUUUGCCAUUUAGCCAAUCAUAUAAGGCCACGCUCUGUAGCUAGUAUUCAUGUACCAUCACCAGCAGUGGUAAGUUUUGUCUAUAGUUCUCCAAAGGAAUGUUAGAAAUACCGAGGUGCCACAAGAAAUCAAACACCAGUGCUCAAAAGUGGGUGGACAAGGCAUUUACUCCUACCAGAAGGGCAUGCUACCAGAACCUGUCUAGUAUACACACCUGGGCAGGCAGUUUUUAUCCUUAAUGCAGUGCUGCCCUUUGCUUUUGAUUGGAAGAGCUGGGGGUUCUAAUCUACAUGAUUAGCUAAUUUUAAAAUUGGGGUGGGAAAAGGGAAGGGCUAAAAUUAAUAUGGCUACAAUUGGAUCCAAUUAAGGCUAAAUACUAUAUUCUAAAAAUGGACCACUGGGCUUUCUAUUUAUCACAGGAAAAUAUAGCUUCCUAUAACGGUCUUUAAAUAAUAGACUGUACCUCAGUAAAUUAAAAUUUCAGUUUUGGUUAAGUUCUGUAUAAAAAUGCUUGAAAAUAAAUCUUUCUUCCCCCAACCUUACUUUACAGCCCAAGCUGAGCAUGGCAAAAUGUCGAAGAAAUGUAGAAAAUUUUCUUGAUGCUUGUAAAAAGUUGGGUGUCUCACAGGUAAUUAUUUAUCCAACAGAAUGAUUAUUUAAAUAUUAAUUUGUUGCAUGCAAAUUAGAGUCUUCAAAAUAGCAUUUAAUAAUGUUUUCAAAAUAUGAACAUUGAUACUGUCUCUUGGUGUUAAUCCCCGCCCCCCAACCCAGAGGCUUGGCUCUGGGGGUUCCGUGGGCUGGAUUUGGUUGCCCACCUAUAUUGCAAUUAAGAGAAAAAUGAUAUAAAAAAUGAAUUCAUUUGUAUUUUCAUAUAAACUGGGAUCACAGCUAAUUUGCCUUCCCUGAACACAUAGAAGUUUAGUAUUGAAUAGGAAAAAAGAACAAAAGCAGGGAGCUCAGAGAUAUGCAUAUACACCAUACUGUGUGGAGUUACAAAUCUGUUUUUUAAGGUUCUUUUGGCAUCCUUGUGCCAGGAGCUAGGGCUUUGGGGGCAGUUUCUGUUUAGCUUCCGUUAUCAGCAUGAGGUGAUUGCCUCUGGGCGGUUGAGAUGGAGAAAUAGCUUAACCAGGUUAUCAUGACAAUAGCUGACUCAGCUAUUGUUAUAAGUUUUCCAGUUUGAAAGGAGCAGCUGUUACUGUACCUUCUUUUUACUAUGUUGCUGUAGAUAAUUGCAGAAGUUGUGUAAUAAAUGUUUUCAAAACAAUUUAUAAAACAGCUGUCUUAUGGAAAAGUUAACUAACCAUGCGUAGUAGCCAUAUUACAGUUUGGUUGUAAUGGCAAUGCUACUAUCAUUUUUUUUUUUCCUGCUGGGGAACAUUUAGAUUCCUCUAUUAAUCAAUGGAUAGACCUCUGACUGGAAGAUUGGCAUUAGUGUAACAGCAUUUUAAGCUUUAUUUAAAAUGAUAUUGAAAAUGUUAGUACCUAGUAUGAUAAUAUCUGCAAGGGCAAACUUUGAAAUUUGUGGAAAUUAGCUUGUGUUUCACAUAAUAAUUACAGUGUUAUAAAAUUAAUGAUUAAAUUUUUAUCCGAAUUUAAGGUUCUAUUGUUCCAUGCUCACCCAAAGACUAGGGAGACCAAAAUUAGUGGAAGGAAACGGGUUUAUUCAAAGUCAGCCCCGAAGAAGACAGAGAGGAUUUCUUCUUCCUUCCCCCUUGAAAUCUCUAUCUCAGAGGGCUCAAGGGCAUGAAGAGUUUUUUUUUUUUUUUUGAGAGAGAAUUUUUUAAUAUUUAUUUUUUAGUUUUUGGUGGACACAUCUUUAUUUUACUUUUAUGUGGUGCUGAGGAUCGAACCCAGAACCCCGUACAUGCCAGGGCUACCACUUGAGCCACAUCCCCAGCCCACCUGAAGAGUUUUUAUGGGGGAAAAGGAGGCCACAUGAGAUAAUGGGCAGGUUCUUUCUUUCCUGGGCUCCUGUUUUCCUCCUCAUUGAAAGGAAUCCUGGCUUCAACCUGCCAUUUUCCUUUCAGACAGCUGCAUUGCCUUUCUGCAAGUCAAUUCCUAGAAGCUGAGGAGAGAAGGAACAUUUCAGAGGCCUCUUUCAGGAGUUUAGACUAUCAUAUAAAAGUUUGUAUAGCUCAGGGGUUGAACGCUUGCCUCACAUGUGUGAGGCACUGGGUUUGAUUCUCAGCACCACAUAAAAAAAUAAAUAAAUAAGUAAAACAAAGAUAUUGUGUCCAUCUACAACUUAAAAAAAAAAGAUGGCUCCCUAAAAGAUUAGGGAGGGAAGGUGAAAGCAAUUCUGUGAAAUACAUCUUUCCAGAGUGUUGGUCUGUUACAAAAGCAGUAUUAUAAAUAUAUAUUGGAAAUUAAGGUUGGAAAUUGGAAAUUAGACCCUAAUUUACAAAAAUGUUUAAUAAAAAUGUUGCAUUUAAAACAAAAAGUUUUACAAACCCAACCUUAACAUGACUGACUGGUGAGGGAAAUCACACUGUAAACAGAACACAAUUGUGCUUGUUAGGUCUUUUGAACAGUGUCAUCAUAAUCUAGUCUUCAGAUUCCAUUUUAGCCUCUUUCUUCAAGGGAGCAAAUGUAGUGUAUAUGUAAUGCAGGAAUUAUUAUUACCUUUUUUCUAUGCUUAACAUGUGAUGUUUUAAAUAUUUAUUUAUUUAUUUAUUUUUGUGUGUGUAUGAUGUGGUGCUGGGGAUUGAACCCAGGGCCUUGUGCAUGUGAGGCAAGCACUGUACUAACUGAGCUAUACCCAGGCCCUUAAAUUUUUAAUUCUUAAAGAUCUUGGUUAAUUCUUUUUUGUGCCCUUACUCUUAAUGAGAAAAUAGAAAACUUAGGACAGUUUUUUUUCCAGCUAUUAUUACAUUACAUUUAUUUUCUUAUUUUGCAUUUUCAUUUUAAGAAUUUUUGUUUCCAUGAACACAUAAGUGGUAAUAUACAAUCUUUUUCACUUAAUUCUUUUUGUUCUAGGAUAUUUUCUAGUUUUUAACAUCCUUAUUGUGAUAUAAUAGGUGUAAAAUAAAGGACAUGUAAAUAAGGUAUAUGAUUUUAUCCAUUUUGGGGAUAUGUGGUGCUGGGAUGUUGAACCCAAGGCCUCACACAUGCUGGGCAAGCACUCUAUCAUCCUCAGCCAUAAUAAAUGUUGAUAUAUACAUAUACCAUGAAAUCAUCAUCACCAUCAAAGUAAUGAACAUAUCCAUUAUCCUCAAAAGUUUCCUCCUCUCCCUCUGCAAACCUUCCUUCUCUAGGCAACCACUAAUUGGCUUUAUAACAUAAUAGAUUAGUUUGCAUUUUUCUAGAGUUUUUAUAUUAAUGCACUAAUACAAUGUGUUGAUUUUUUUUUCUUUUACUUGGCAUGAUUAUUUUAAGACAUGUCAGUAUUGUUGCAUAUUUAAAUAGGCCAUUCUGUUUUGUUUCUGAGUAGAAUUUCACAAUUUGUUGAUCCAUUGGCCUGUUGGUAGAUAUUGGGAUUGUUUCCAGUUUUAGGGGUUAUAAAAAUAAAGCUGCUGUGUACAGUUGUGUAUAAGUCUUUGUGUGGAUAUUUGUAUUCUUUAAUUUUUAGUAAAUACCUGGCAGUGGAAUACCUGCAGCCUUUAGUAAGUAGGUGCUUAACAUUUUAAGAAAAGUACAAAAUUCUCUUCUAAACCAGUUGUACCAUUUCACAGUAUUAUCGGCAGUAUAUGAAAUUUCAUUUUCUCCGUAUCCUCACCACUUCUGUAUGACUGACCUUUUUAAGUUUUUAGUCAUUGUAAAUAGGUAUUUUUUGGCCUCCCAAUACAAUUUUAAUUUGCACUUCCCUGAAGACUAACAGUAUUGAUCAUCUUUUCAAGUACUUAGUUGCCAUUUGUGUAUCUUCUUUUUGGAAGUGUAUUUUCUAACCUUUUAUCUAUUAUUAUUACUUACUAUAACUUGCCUUUUAAUAUAGAUUUUUAAAAUAUUUUAUGUAUUUUUCUCUCUUUUUUUUUUAACUGGGGGUCGAACCCAGGGCUUUGUGAAUGCAAGGCAGGUGCUUUGCCACUGAGCUACAUCCCAGCCCAAUAAUUAUCUAUUUUUAAAAUUGGGUUGUUCUUCAUAAAUUAUGGACCAAGUUCUUUAUAAGACCUGUGACUCACAGAUACUGUAUCCUAGUUUUUGGAUUGUCUGUGUCUUUCAAAGAGCAGACAUUUUAAAGUUUUGAAGUACAGUUUGUCUUUUUUUUUUUUCUUCUUUUUUUAGUGGAUUAUCUUUUUUUCUCAAACCUAAGAAAUCUUUGCAUAACCCACAGUCACAAAGAUUUCCUCCUGUUUACUUCUAGAAGUUUUAUAAUCUUAGGUUUUACAUUUUAUGUCUAUGAUCAAUUUUGAGUUAAUUCUUGCAUAUUGUCAAAGCUAAAGCUCUUUUUUCAGCCUGGGAUUGGGCUCAUGUAUUGAUUGUUCUUUUAACAUCUUUCCUGAAAUAUAAUUAACAUACAUAGCAUUCAUUGAUUUAAAACAUACAAUUAAAUGGUUUUUAGUAUAGUCACAGAAUUGGGCAACAUUCAUAAUAAUCUAAGUGUAGAAUAUUUUUGUUACCCUAGAGAGAAACCCCUUACAAUGCAUUGACUGUCCCUUCCUGUUCUGUCUCCGUGUAUUUGCUUAUUCUGAACAUUACAUAUAAUGAAAUCAUACAUUAUGGAGCCUUUUGUGUCUGACUUUUUUCACUUAGUAUAAUGUUUUCAGGGUUUCUGUGUUGUGGCAUAAAACAGUACUUCAUUUCUUAUUAAUGCUGAGUAGUAUUCCAUUGUAUGCAUAUACCACAUUUUGUUUGUCCAUUUGUCAGUUGGUGGACAUUUGGGUUGUUACCACUCAUCAUUUAUUAUAAAUAAUGCUGCUGUGAACAUCUAAGAACAAGUUUUCAUUUGAACACUUAUUUUCAGUUCUCCUGGUUAUAAACCUAGGAGUGGAAUUACUAGGUCAAGGUAACUAUGUUCGUCUUUUUGAAGAACUGCCAAGAUGUUUUCCAAAGUGGCUGCACCAUUUUACAUACCCACCAGCAAUGAGUUAGGGUUCUCAUUUCUCUUCAUCCUCACCAACAAUGGUUACUGUCUACCUUUUUAUCCUAGCUAUUGUAGCAGGUACAAAGUAAUAGCUCAUUAUAUUUUCAAUUUGCAUUUUUCUAAUAGUAAAUGAUGUUGAACAUCUUUUCAUAUGCUUAUUGAUAAUUUGUGCAUGUUCUUUAAAGAAAUUUGUAUUCAAAACCUGCAUCCAUUUAUUAAUUGGAUUAUUUAUCUUAUAGUUAUUGAGUCAUGGGUAUUCUUUAUAUAUUCCAAAUACAAAUCACUUAUGAGGUACAGGAUUUGCAUUUAUUUUCUCCUAUGCUGUGGGUUGUCUUUUCACUUUCUUAAUGUUAUCAUUUGCAGCACAAAGUUUUUUUAUUUGUUGAGAUACAGUUUAUUCAUUUUUCUUCUGUUUCUUGUGAUUUUGAUAGUAUAGCUAAGAAGACAUUACUUAAUUCAAGGUCAUGAAGAUUUACAUCUAUAUUUUCUUCUAAAAGUUUUAUAGUUUUGUGCUUAACAUUUAGGUUUCUAAUCCUUUUUUAGUACAGUUUUGUGCAUGGUGUGAGGUAGUGUUCCAAAUUCAUUCUUUUACAUGCAGAUGUUUAUUUUCCUAGUACCAUUUGUUGAUAAGACUCUUCUUCCUCUCAUUGAAUUGUCUUGGUACCCUUGUCAGAAGUUAGUUGACCAUAAGUGUAAGGACUCUCAAUUGUUUAUUUCCUAUCGACAUUCUUUUUUUUUUUUUUUUUGGUACCAGGGAUUUAACCCAGAGGCACUUAACUACUGAGCCACAUCCCCAGCCCUUUUUUAUAUUUUAUUUAGAGAUAGGGGAUUGCUAGGUUGCUUAGUCCCUCAGUAAGUUGCUGAGGCUGACUUUGAACUUGUGAUCCUCCUGCCUCAGCCUCUUGGGCCACUGGGAUUACAAGUAUGCACCACUUUGUUCUUGAUUGUAAGCAUUUAAUCUCUCAUCUUUUAGUAUGAUAUCAACUGUGGUUUUUUUGUAGAUGCCCUUUCAUGAGUUUGAGGAGUUUCCCUGCAUUCAGUUUUUCCUGCAAAAUUUGUUUAAAAAUCUAUUCUUUCUCCAUUCAUCUUCCUUUGCCUCUGUAUCAAAAACCAUUUGUCCAUUUAUCUGUGAGUCUGUUUCUGGAUUCUUUAUUUUGUUCCAUUGAUAUUUUUUUUCCCCUAUAUGUACAUUGGUAAAACAACAUCUUGCUUACUACACAUUUUAAAAUCAAAUAGUAUUAGCACUCUAACUUUCUUCUUCCUUUUUAUAGCUAUUUUGGCUAUUCUUGGUCUUUUGUAUUUCCAUAUAAAUCUAGAAUAUUUUGCCCUUCUACACAAAAAUUUUAAAAAAAAUUAGAUUAUUAUAGAAGUUGUGUUUAACAUAUAGAACAACAUAGGUGGAAUGAUAACAAUAUUGAGUCUUUCCAUACACCAAGUAUAUCCUUACUAAGGUAUUCUUUAAUUCCCUCAACAAUGUUUUGUAGUUUUUACUGUAUAGAUCUUGUGUAUUUGUCCUGAAGUAUUUUAUACUUUCGUAUUUUACAUGCUAUUGUAUGUGAUUGUUCAGUUGUAAUUUAAUAUCUCACUCUUUGUUUCUAAUAUAUAGAAAUAUAAUCAGUCUUUAUAUAUUAAUCUAUAUCUUACAAUCUUGCUAAAUGUACCUAUCCGUUUUAGUAGCUUUUUGUAGAUUUCACAGAAUUUUGUAUAUGGUUGUUCAUAUUUUCUGUGAAUAGAAACAGCUUUUCUUCUUUCUUUCUGAUCUGAAUGUCUUUUCUUGUUUUAUCUUGUCUUGUCUGAUUACCCUGGCCAGAUAUCCUAGCACAAUGUUGAAUACAAAUGGCAAACAUGGACAUCCUUGUCUUCUGAUUUUUUUAGGACAAUUUCAGUCUUUCACCCUUAAGUACGAUGUUAGCUGUGAGAUUUUCACAGAUGAUCUGUAUGAGGUUUAGGGAGUACUCUUACAUUCCUAGUUUCCUAAAGUUCUUACCAAAUGGAUCUUGGAUUUCAUCAAAUGCUUUUUUAUUUUAUUUUAUCUUUUAUUUUUAAAUAAGUGACAGAGGAAUGCAUUAAAAUUCAUAUUACACAUAAAGAGCACAAUUUUUCAUACCUCUGGUUAUAUAUAAAGCAUGUUUACACCAAUUUGUGUCUUCAUACAUGUACUUUGGAUAAUGAUGUCCAUCACAUUCCACCAGCAUUGCUAACUCCCUACCCCGUCCCUGAAUAAAUGAACUCAUCAAAUGCUUUUUCUUCAUCAACUGAUGUGAGCAUGUUAUUUUCAUUUUAGUUUGUUACUAUUAUAAAUCACAUUCAUUGAUUUUCAAAUGUUAGUUCAACCCUGCAUUCUUAGAUUAAACCCCACUUGAUCGUGGUGGGUUUUUUUCUUGAUGUUGUUAUUGCUUUUUUAUAUUAUUGGAUCAGUUUGUUAAAAUUUUAUUAGAUUUUUGCUUGUAUGUUUAUAGGGAUACUGGUUUUUAGUUUUCUUUUAAUGUCUUUAUUGAUAUUAAGGUAGUGCCAACUUCCUGGAGUAUGUAUUCCUUUCCUCUUGAUUUUUCUUAAACAUUUGGGCAGAAUUGAUAUCAUUUCUUUCAUCUAAUGAAAUUUAUGAAUAGUCUAUCUAGGCCAGGGAUUUUCUUUGUGGAACUUUUUUUUUUUUUUUUUUUUUUUUUUUUGGGUGUGGUGCUGGGGAUUGAACCCAGGGCCUUAUGCACGCAAGGCAAGCACUCUACCAACUGAGCUAUACUCCCGGCCCCUGUGGAAAUGUUUUAUACUACAGUUUAAAUUUCUUUAACAGAUAGAGAUAUAUUCUGGUUAUCUAUUCUUGUAUGAGUUUCAGUAUAUUUUAUCUUUCAGAGAAUUUAUCCAUUUCUUCUAAUUUGUCAAAUUUAUCUUAUAACAUUGUUUAUAGUAUCUCCUUACUAUCAUUGUAUUUGUAGAAUAACUUGUGAUGUCACUUCUGUUAUUACUGAUAUUGCUAAGUCUCUUUUUCCUGAUUGGCCUAAAUAAAGGCUUAUGAAUUUUUAAAAUUCUUCUCAAUGAACUACAUUUUGGUUUCAUUGAUUUUUUUUUUUUCUUUCUAGCAUUUUUCUCUCAUCUUCAUUGUUUCCUUCUUUCUAUUUGGCAUUGAUUUAAUUUGCUCUUUUUCUAGUUCCUAAGGUAGGUACUAAAGUCCCUAAUUUGAAACAUUUCUCCUUUCCUCAUUAUACUCUUCAGUGGUGAUUUGAAUAAGUAUGUAAAAUACCAUGAGAACACUAAAUGGAGCAAUAAAAAUGGAGAUGAUAAGAUAGUUUUUAGGGAACUCUUUUAUUUAUUUUGUUUGUUUUGAAGUACAGGGGAUUGAAUCCAGGGGCAUGUUACUACCACUGAGCUCCACCUCCAAUGCUUUUUAUUUUUUAUUCUGAGAUAGGGUCUUGCUACAAUGCUGAAGCUGGCCUUGAACUUGCAAUUCUCCUGCCUCAGCCUUCCAAGUCUCUGAGAUUACAGGCACGUACCUCUGUGCACAGGAUAGUUUUUGAGAACUCUUUAAAGAUAUCAUCAGUGGUAUUUUAUGAAUAUAUUAAGGGAGUAAGGAAGACAAGGAAAGCUAUUAUGAUUCCUAUGUUUAUAUUGGUAGAAAUUGAAUAGUUUUUUACUGACCAAGAUAUAAAAUACAGAAGGAUAAACUAAUUUAGUAGAAGUAGUUCUGUUGUGGACAUAUUGAUUUUUAUAUGUUUAUUGGACACAUGUUUGGCUGUUUAGUUGGCAUUUGCUUGAUAGAGAGAUUUGGGGAGGAAAUGAAGAUUUGGAAGUCAUUAUGAGGGAUAAUUAAAACUAAGAGAAUAAAUGAAAAUACAAGGAAUGGAUACAGUGUAAAAAGAGAAGAGAGUGACAACAGAAUCCUUGGAAGCAUUUAGGAUAUUAGAAUAGGAUCGAUGAAAGCUAAUGAAAGCUAUUGCACAAUUUGCUGUCAGAAAAGUUGAAGAAAUAAAAAGAAUGAGGUCAUACAACAUAAAAAAGAGGUAAGGUUUCAAGAAAGGCAUUAAUUAAAGGCUCAAAAUGAUAUAGCAGUCAAGUAGGCAUGUGCAACAUUUAACAUUUAAGAAGACAUUGCUGAUUUUUUUUUUUACUAGAGUAAUUUUAGUGGGUAGAUUCUUUAGAGGCAGCUGUAAAAUAGCAGUAGUUGAGUAGUGAAUGGGAAAUGCAGCAGUGGUGACCUCUUCCUUUGCAGAUAUUUUCUGUGUAGAGAAAGAGGUUUAGUUGUAAAGUGAUAGCAUUUCAGAGAAGGCCAGCCUCUAUAAUCCUUUACUUAGUGUAAGUUAAGAACCAAAACACAUUAGAUUACAAUAUUUACUAGAGAAAACAGAAUUGUGCAUUUUUUACUUGAAGUUUUACAGAAAGUAUACUUUAAAAAUCUGAUUCUGAGGUUGAGGAUGUAACUCAGUGGUAGAGCCUUUGGCAACAUAUGUGAGGCCCCGGGUUCCAUCCCCAGCACUGCACACACACACACACACACACACACACAAGAAAAAACAAUCCGAUUCCAACUUAAGUUUAACCACACACAAAAUGUUGAAUGUUCAAAUAUCUUUUUUUUCUUUUCCAGGAAAGACUCUGUUUGCCUCAUCAUAUUUUGGAAGAACGAGGUCUUGUGAAAGUUGGUGUCACGGUUCAGGCCCUCCUUGAAUUACCUACGACCAAGGCAUCUCAACUUUCUAUGGCUUGAUAACAUUUUAAAAAUUAUAAGUGUGUAGUUUCAUUUAUUUGAAGCAAUUUCAGAUAUCUUAAAUUCAUGAAUAAAAAUGUCCAGUCAAAAAUCAUUUGCCUUAGGUCAAGCCUUAGGGUUUUUACAAAAAUUACAUUAAAACAUCAAAUUGAAACUGAAUUGCCCAAGCUUCUUUUGGGGGAAAACUGGAUUAAUUUAAUAAGAGUUUUUGAUGAAUUCAAAUUUUCUUUUUACUAUCAGUUAAUAACCUUGGUUAUUUUUCAAAAUGCAGAUUGAUACUCAAUUUAAAAUAUGUAUCCAAUUUAAUAAUCACAUUAGGUUUAAUUUUUUUACAUCAUAACAUACUAGUAAACAUCUGGAAAAUGGUAAUCUUUUUUUAGCCAUUUAAAACAAUUCUAUAUUUGAGUUAUUUAAUACACUUCUAGUUUAUACACAACUUCUUUCAUCUUUGUUCUUAGUUUUCUAGAAAAAAAUGAGUAGGAAAAAACCAAACUCUGGCAUUCUAUUAAAUUCUUUUAGUAUUAUAGGUUGGUGCCAAACUAUUUUCAGUUGUACUGUAGAUUGUUUACAUGUGAAGUGCCUGUGUAAUUGAUGAAUCUUAUAUAGUCUUAAGCAUUUUUGCAAUUUCUUUUUUGUAUCAAUAGAGUCAACAGAACUUUAAACUAUUUUAGUAGGUUUUGUAAGGUCAAUACUAUGUGAGGAUUUAAAUGUGCCUCACAUCGUGACAUCAUGGUUUUUUAGUUAGUCCAUUACAGUUUUCCUUAAAUUGGUUAUUUCAUGUUGUAAAAAAGCAAAACAAAACAAAAACAAAAAAUGUUAAUAUGCUUAAUUUAUGCUAUUUAAUUUUGCAAAACUUAAUCAUUUUUAAAGUGUAUUAUUUGAAGAGUAUUUUAUUUCUGUAUUGAAAAUGUUACACAAAGCAGUAAGAUUUUUGAGAACUAGUGAAGUACUAAUUAUGAAGGACAUUUUGAUAAAACUGCCAAAGUUUGGAUUUGUAUCUUGAUUUUCAGGAACAUUACAUCAGUGCUACCUUUAGCUAUAUUCAGAGAGCAGCAAUUGAGGAAUAAGUUUUUAUUCAAAAUCUGACCAUUUGUGGAUCUUGUACACCGAUGCUCCUCAAUUAACUUGAUGUUGAGUUAAACAUAGACUGUUCCAAAAAUAUUUUCAUGAGAUACUAUGUCACACAAAGUUCUUGUUUGACUUAGAGAUGGAUAAAUUUAUGUUGGUAGUAGUGCAGGAAUUUUUCAAAAACAUUACUGUAAUGAAUAACUCAUUUUCCUAUAAAAGAACCUUAAUUACUUUUGUAGUAGCCAAGCAUCAUAUCUUAAGUAUGUGAUCAUUUGCACUUGUUACCUCUUAAUAUGGAUGCAACUUAUUAAAAAUGUUGGCCUGGGUAUUUCAAAGGGUAUAUAUAAAAGGUAAAAACUAGUGUGCCAAAUGGUAUAGUAAGGGUUGACUUAGGAACAACUCUACUAUUUUUGAUCAGUUGGCAUGAAGCCAUAUAAUUAAAUUUUGGCUUUAGAAUACAGAUAUUCUUUACACUCCCCAAGGGUCAAAUUGGAGCUUUUGAAGAAUUAAAGCUUCUUAUGACUGUAAGGUAUAAGAAUUAAAUUAUUAGUAAUUUAUUACUUUAAAUAUUUGAGCUAAUUUUUCCUUUUCAGUUGUGUCUUUUAAAAAACACACAAAAAAACAAACCUCAUUGACAUGAUCUCCCUAGUGAAAACUUGGAAUAUACAAGAAAUGGCCAGUAUGUACCUUAGUUGAUAAGUUUCUAAUUUAGAAGUUUGACAGCGUUACAAAUUAAGUAACCACUAAAAACUGCAACAAUCAUUCAUACUUCUUUUAUAGUUAUCAUGCUAUCGAUUUCCUCUUAUUAUUAAUCUAGUGUUAGUUACUUUACAAGUAUUUUCCUAUUUCAUAUCAUUAAAAUAGUAGUGAAAUCUUAGGCCAUUCCCUUAUUGCAUUUCCCUUGUCAGUUAAUUAUUCCUUUAAAGAGAAAAUACACCAGAACCUCAUUGUAGCAUCCUUUUUGCAAAUCCAAAUUCCACUUAAGAUGGGUCCAGUGGAGGUCCAUACCAUGACAUUUCAUUUAGUGUUGUGUCAGAGGGCAACACCAUCUCUGAAGCAAUUUCACAAGUCCCUGAGGACAACAGUAUACCAAGGUUCUGAUGUAUUUCUUUUAGUAGUUUUUAUGUGUAAAAUUUAUCCUAAAUGUUUUUAUUGUUAUUAUAUAUUUACUUCAUCAGUUAUUGAAUUAAGAAUGAUUAUCUUUAUUUGAAUGGAUUUGUGAUUUCAUGAGGGUUGACUAAUCAGACUAAAAUUUUUAUUGGACCCUUAAAAAUUCAAUAGAUAGCUCUUUCUGUUAAAUUUUAUGACUAUGGCACAAGAAAGAAGUGAUGGUGGAUAUGUUACAAUUGAAAUAAGGAGUAAAAAUGCAUUGCCAUUUGUUUAAUAAUUAUCUUUAUAGAAUGCUAGUUUAAUGACUUUUAUAACUGAAUUUUUUGAAGAAUUCAGAAAAGUUUGUAUUGCUCACAGAUCUAUCAUAAUGGAUUUUCUGAUGCAUUUAAAAGUAAAUGGAACACUAAAUGUAUAUUACCGAUGCAAACUGUGGAUAAAGUUGAAUGAAAAAAAUUUAGCGUGGGGUUUAUUUUCUCAUUAUCAAUUCUCUACCCAUCACAUCAUCCUUUUUUUUUUUUAAUCAAAAGAGCCAGUGUUUAUUCCCAAGUGUAGAAACAGACUUUGUAAGAAUUCCAUCAGACUUUGAGAGGAUAUUCAAAGUGGAUUGUUUCAGUUGGGUGCAAUAGCGCACAUCUGUAAUUU